CCCUUAGAUGUUCUGGGCGGCCCACGCACUACAUUGGCACUAGCAAAGAGAUCCUAGAUUGAAUUCUUUGGGGUAUUCUUCUAAAUGGUGUCGUGACUGGGAUAAAUCCUUGUAAUUAUUGGUUUUGAACGAGGAAUUCCUUGUAAUCGCGGUUUAUCAGCUCGCGUUGAAUGCGUCCCUGCCCUUUGUACACACCGCCCGUCGCUCCUACCGAUGGAUCGUCCGGUGAAGCUCACGGAGUGACUGUUCACGCAACGGUUUACGAAGUGAAAUGGACCUCACGAUUUAGAGGAAGGAGAAGUCGUAACA
rnacentral:rRNA from 1 species